rnacentral:rRNA from 1 species
UACGUAGGUCCCGAGCGUUGUCCGGAUUUAUUGGGCGUAAAGCGAGCGCAGGUGGUUUAUUAAGUCUGGUGUAAAAGGCAGUGGCUCAACCAUUGUAUGCAUUGGAAACUGGAAGACUUGAGUGCAGGAGAGGAGAGUGGAACUCCAUGUGUAGCGGUGAAAUGCGUAGAUAUAUGGAGGAACACCGGUGGCGAAAGCGGCUCUCUGGCCUGUAACUGACACUGAGGCUCGAAAGCGUGGGGAGCAAACAGG